CCGAAAGUGAAAGCUCUUCAGGAAUGACGGAAGUUCCUUCAGUAAAAUUCGAGCUCAUUGCGUGUGUGAAGCCAUGAUUUGUAAAGCAAGUGCAGACGAAUGCCCAGACAGAAAUUCACGUUAGGAUUGCAAGGACUCCCACCCGGCAGAUGCGACAUUGCAGUACAAGUACAUUUAUUAACGCACUUCUUCAAAAUAUCAAGAAUAAAUUAGAAAAAACGACGUCUCAGAAUAAUAGCGUACAUUACAUGACUGAAAGAAAAUCUGAGCCAUGCUUUGGAGUUUAUGCUUCUGUCAAACAGUAAACAUGACCAUAAGAUGAGAAAUGUUUUUUUCAGGAAUGUCUUGGGUAUUUAUCAGCUCGCAUUACUUACGUUGCCUGUUGUACAGCCUUGUGAAAACCCUGACAGCCCAGCAAGUAUAGCUGCGGAUUACAGCCAUGUCAUUUAUCAUUUAAUCAACAAAACUAAUGAUCUCCUUUCAAAAGAAAUUCAAAAUGGAACUUGCC